rnacentral:rRNA from 1 species
UACGUAGGGUGCAAGCGUUAAUCGGAAUUACUGGGCGUAAAGCGUGCGCAGGCGGUUAUGCAAGAAAGAUGUGAAAUCCCCGGGCUUAACCUGGGAACCGCAUUUGUGACUGCAUAGCUGGAGUACGGCAGAGGGGGAUGGAAUUCCGCGUGUAGCAGUGAAAUGCGUAGAUAUGCGGAGGAACACCGAUGGCGAAGGCAGUCCCCUGGGCCUGUACUGACGCUCAUGCCCGAAAGCGUGGGGAGCAAACAGG